rnacentral:rRNA from 1 species
UACGUAGGGGGCAAGCGUUGUCCGGAAUUAUUGGGCGUAAAGAGCGUGUAGGCGGUCCGGGUAAGUCAGAGGUGAAAUCCCGGAGCUCAACUUCGGAAUUGCCUCCGAUACUGCCGUGCUUGAGGACUGGAGAGGAGAUUGGAAUUCACAGUGGAGCAGUGAAAUGCGUAGAUAUUGUAAGGACACUAGUGGCGAAGGCGAAUCUCUGGACAGUUCCUGACGCUGAGGCACGAAGGCCAGGGGAGCAAACGGG